AAUAAGGGCAGGCCUAACCCCCAUAGAGGCACGCAUAUAUUUGCAGCCAGCAAGUAUCUGUAGGGUGCCAUAGACUGAAGGAGAACACAAUGACCCUCUCUAUGCAAUAAGAUCACGCCUUCUCUUUCUCACUCCCCUGUUACCCUCUUCCUCUCCAUCCCUCUUUAUUUCUCUCCCCCCUUGCCUCUCUCCCCAUUUCACAUAGAACCAUGCAUGUGACUACACCUGACUGAGAAACACCCCCAGGUAUAAACCAUGCAUGUGACUACACCUGACUGAGAAACACCCCCAGGUAUAAACCAUGCAUGUGACUACACCUGACUGAGAAACACCCCCAGGUAUAAACCAUGCAUGUGACUACACCUGACUGAGAAACACCCCCAGGUAUAAACCAUGCAUGUGACUACACCUGACUGAGAAACACCCCCAGGUAUAAACCAUGCAUGUGACUACACCUGACUGAGAAACACCCCCAGGUAUAAACCAUGCAUGUGACUACACCUGACUGAGAAACACCCCCAGGUAUAAACCAUGCAUGUGACUACACCUGACUGAGAAACACCCCCAGGUAUAAACCAUGCAUGUGACUACACCUGACUGAGAAACGCCCCCAGGUAUAAACCAUGCAGGUGACUACACCCUGACAGAGAAACGCCCCCAGGUAUAAACCAUGCAGGUGACUACACCCUGACAGAGAAACGCCCCCAGGUAUAAACCAUGCAGGUGACUACACCCUGACAGAGAAACGCCCCCAGGUAUAAACCAUGCAGGUGACUACACCCUGACAGAGAAACGCCCCCAGGUAUAAACCAUGCAGGUGACUACACCCUGACAGAGAAACAACCC